rnacentral:RNase_P_RNA from 1 species
GGUAGAGAGAGCCCGGCUCCCGCGGACCGCGCGAGGAAAGUCCCCCCACCGCCCGGGCAGGUGACCGGGCGCAAGCCCGGGGCGGGAGACCGCCGGCACUGGAACAGCAACGACACGUCCCGGCCCGACCGAUGACGCCCGCGAUCCCGACCGAAAGGGAGGGUAGUUGACCGGCAGAGGGCCGACGGCCGGGGAUCGAUGGAACGGCCACCCUCACCGGUGCAAGUCCGCGCGACAGGUAGCCCGGGUGCGCCGCUGGCGUACGUUUGGCGCGGACGCUCAGCCGAAUGCCGGGCCGAACAGAAGGGGGCUUACUCCUCUCUGCC